rnacentral:rRNA from 1 species
CCUACGGGUGGCAGCAGUGGGGAAUAUUGCACAAUGGGGGAAACCCUGAUGCAGCGACGCCGCGUGAAGGAAGAAGUAUUUCGGUAUGUAAACUUCUAUUAGCAGGGAAGAAAAUGACGGUAUCUGACUAAGAAGCUACGGCUAACACCGAGCCAGAAGCCGCGGUAAUACGGAGGUUGCGAGCGUAAUCCGGAUUGAUUGGGUUUAAGGGGUGCGCAGGCGGAUUUUUAAGUCAGCGGUAAAAUCGUGGGGCCCAACCCCAUCCAGCCGUUGAUACUGGGGAUCUAGAGUGUGCGAGAGGUAUGCGGAAUGCGUGGUGUAGCGGUGAAAUGCAUAGAUAUCACGCAGAACCCCGAUUGCGAAGGCAGCAUACCGGUGCACAACUGACGCUCAGGCACGAAAGCGUGGGUAUCGAACAGGAUUAGAUACCCCUGUAGUC